UACGGGAGGUAGCAGUGGGGAAUAUUGCACAAUGGGCGAAAGCCUGAUGCAGCCAUGCCGCGUGUAUGAAGAAGGCCUUCGGGUUGUAAAGUACUUUUCAGUCGUGAGGAAGGUGUUAAGGUUAAUAACCUUAGCAAUUGACGUUAGCGACAGAAGAAGCACCGGCUAACUCCGUGCCAGCAGCCGCGGUAAUACGGAGGGUGCGAGCGUUAAUCGGAAUUACUGGGCGUAAAGGGCACGCAGGCGGUUAAUUAAGUUGGAUGUGAAAUCCCCGGGCUUAACCUGGGAAUGGCAUUCAAGACUGGUUAGCUAGAGUCUUGUAGAGGGGGUUAGAAUUCCAUGUGUAGCGGUGAAAUGCGUAGAGAUGUGGAGGAAUACCGGUGGCGAAGGCGGCCCCUGGACAAAGACCUGACGCUCAUGUGCGAAAGCUGGGGAGCAAACAGGGAUUAGAUACCCG
rnacentral:rRNA from 1 species